UAAGCACCAACCUCACUUCUGUCAAAUUUUCAGGAAAACUUGAAUUUCUCUCUCACUGCUAAUUAACCCUAACCCGCUGCAACUUGUCGAUCCCUCCCAUAAACUUAAGCGUGGCCUCUUUUCCCUCUUUCGUUCGUUCUCACCAAUAUCUUGCUGUCAAGCCGGCAUGGCCUCUUUUCCCUCUUUUGUUUGUUCUCACUAAUUUCUUUCUAUCAAGCCGACGUUGUCUCACGUCAGAAAUACCAUGAAAACCGCCCAACUAUAGCGUCCCAACAGCCAGGCAACGUAACUCUGUUUUGCUAUGCCAAAAACAGAGCAACCCAGUCCAACAUAAGUUAAAGCUGUUGGGAAGUGCAAGGAAGAUGAUUGUCAUUGGGCGAGUGGCAGAGACAAGGUUUCGAUAUUCUGCAAACUACCCAGUCGUUAAAGCUGCUGGGAAGUGCAAGGAAGAUGAUUGUCAUUGGGCGAGUGGCAAAGUCACAAGGUUCCGAUAUUCUGCAACAACUAGAUAUAUAAUUUUUUGGUUAUAUUUCUGCAGCAGCUAUCCCAAAUAUUUAUUUGUUUGAUUCAAGGUACUAAUAUUCUUGUAAAGUGUUGAUUUUAAUUCAUUAUUAAUGCUGGACACCAAUAAUUUCUUCACGCCAUCAAUUUAAUUCCUCAGCGUUAAUCCAAAAACAACGUGACACCGAUUGUUUUUUGACCUUUUUGGUUCCCUCAAUUUUUUGACCUUUCAGACCAUGAUUUAAAGGGGAAAAAAUGAAUGCUACAUGAAGAAUAUUUGACCAUAUUUUUG